AGGGAACUUAUGAACGCGCACAGGGGGGCAUCUUAUCGCACUAACAAGACAGAUGGUUCGAAAAAGCAACAACACAAUGGGUAGAUUGUUCACCGCCGUACUUUCAGAUUGUUCACCACCGUACAUAUGAUCCCAGGAGCUGUCUCAGAUGACCCCAAACAAACCAUGGGACAACUGGUGGCACAAUGCCACGAUACCGGGUCAGUACAGAAGCUGGGCCAUGGAAACGAACCCACCCGAGAUGACCAUCCGAUGCAAAUUGAUCUGAGUCCCCUUAUUAUAUCAAAUAACCCAGCUAGCUCGGGCUAUACAUCAUUAUCGCAUAAUAAGGCAACAUAUCCUCGUAUAGCUACGGUCACAUAUGGUGCCAUUCAUGCGAAAGAUAUACAAGAUGACUUGAAUGACACCAAAGAAAAUACACGAAGUACAGAAGAAGAAUGCAAAAGAGACCAUAGAAACGCCCUGAGGAGAGCUUCUUAUCAGCGCAAAAAAAUCAGAAUCUCCAAGAUGAAAAACUGCGGGCCCUUAAUUUGUUAGACAACCCAGCUAGCUCCAACUGCACAUCAUUCUCGCAUAUUGAUUCAAUAUUUCCUGCUACAACUACGGUCACAUCUGGUCUGGUUAGUGACAAUGGUAUACAAGAUGUUGACUUGAAUCACAUCCCGGAAACAAAGCAACAAACGGACGAAGAACGCAAGAGAGAUCAUAGAAACGCCCUGAGAAGAGCUUCUUAUCGGAGGAAAAAGGAUCGGCUUAUCGAAAAUGAAAAUCUUCGUCCACUUUCGACAUCAGGUAUAAUAAUACCUUUAGUUUCACCUAGAUGUUCUAAGAUUUUUUAGGUCAUAGCAAAAUAUUCUUUUAGCGCCCAUCAUGCUCAAACCAUAGAGUUUAUUGCUUCAUGUUAUUGCACGUGGUUUUU